rnacentral:tmRNA from 1 species
GGGUCCGUAAAGGUUUCGACGGGGAUUUUGAACUAUUGGAAGCGAGCAGUGGUGCAGAACCACUUUAAAAUCUGCAAUUUUAAAAUUAACUGACAACAAUAACGUUGCAUUAGCAGCCUAAUUUGGCUGCCGUCUGACCAGAGAGUACCGCGGCUUUGCGAAGGCGUCAUUUAGCGGUGAACGUGAACGGCAAAUUGUUCCUUUUGCUGUCAUGAAGUAGGAACUACCAAUUUUAACGGUUUGUUAUUUGUCUGUUAAAUAAGGGAAUUUUAAACAACUGACUGCGCUCGGAGAUGCCGAUAGGAAUAGAUUUUCGGACGGGGGUUCGACUCCCCCCGGAUCCACCA